CCUACGGGAGGCAGCAGUGGGGGAUAUUGCACAAUGGGGGGAACCCUGAUGCAGCGACGCCGCGUGGGUGAAGAAGCGCCUCGGCGCGUAAAGCCCUGUCAGCAGGGAAGAAAAUGACGGUACCUGAAGAAGAAGCCCCGGCUAACUACGUGCCAGCAGCCGCGGGAAUACGUAGGGGGCAAGCGUUAUCCGGAUUUAAUGGGUGUAAAGGGGGCGCAGACGGCGAUGCAAGCCAGGAGUGAAAGCCCGGGGCCCAACCCCGGGACUGCUCUUGGAACUGCGUGGCUGGAGUGCAGGAGGGGAAGGCGGAAUUCCUGGUGUAGCGGUGAAAUGCGUAGAUAUCAGGAGGAACACCGGUGGCGAAGGCGGCCUGCUGGACUGCAACUGACGUUGAGGCCCGAAAGCGUGGGGAGCAAACAGGAUUAGAUACCCCUGUAGUC
rnacentral:rRNA from 1 species